rnacentral:snRNA from 1 species
GUGCUCCCUUUCGUAGCACAAAGACUAAAAUUGGUACAAGACAGAAGAUUAGGAUGGCCUCUGCACA